rnacentral:rRNA from 1 species
GGGUUGUGAGGUUAAGCGACUAAGCGUACACGGUGGAUGCCCUGGCAGUCAGAGGCGAUGAAGGACGUGCUAAUCUGCGAAAAGCGCCGGCGAGGUGAUAUGAACCUUUGACCCGGCGAUGUCCGAAUGGGGAAACCCAGUGUGAUUCGUCACACUAUCGUUAACUGAAUACAUAGGUUAACGAGGCGAACCGGGGGAACUGAAACAUCUAAGUACCCCGAGGAAAAGAAAUCAACCGAGAUUCCCCCAGUAGCGGCGAGCGAACGGGGAGCAGCCCAGAGUCUGAAUCAGCUUGUGUGUUAGUGGAAGCGUCUGGAAAGUCGCACGGUACAGGGUGACAGUCCCGUACACGAAAGCACACAGGCUGUGAACUCGAAGAGUAGGGCGGGACACGUGGUAUCCUGUCUGAAUAUGGGGGGACCAUCCUCCAAGGCUAAAUACUCCUGACUGACCGAUAGUGAACCAGUACCGUGAGGGAAAGGCGAAAAGAACCCCGGCGAGGGGAGUGAAAAAGAACCUGAAACCGUGUACGUACAAGCAGUGGGAGCACCUUCGUGGUGUGACUGCGUACCUUUUGUAUAAUGGGUCAGCGACUUAUAUUCUGUAGCAAGGUUAACCGUAUAGGGGAGCCGAAGGGAAACCGAGUCUUAACUGGGCGUUAAGUUGCAGGGUAUAGACCCGAAACCCGGUGAUCUAGCCAUGGGCAGGUUGAAGGUUGGGUAACACUAACUGGAGGACCGAACCGACUAAUGUUGAAAAAUUAGCGGAUGACUUGUGGCUGGGGGUGAAAGGCCAAUCAAACCGGGAGAUAGCUGGUUCUCCCCGAAAGCUAUUUAGGUAGCGCCUCGUGAACUCAUCUUCGGGGGUAGAGCACUGUUUCGGCUAGGGGGCCAUCCCGGCUUACCAACCCGAUGCAAACUACGAAUACCGAAGAAUGUUAUCACGGGAGACACACGGCGGGUGCUAACGUCCGUCGUGAAGAGGGAAACAACCCAGACCGCCAGCUAAGGUCCCAAAGUCAUGGUUAAGUGGGAAACGAUGUGGGAAGGCACAGACAGCCAGGAUGUUGGCUUAGAAGCAGCCAUCAUUUAAAGAAAGCGUAAUAGCUCACUGGUCGAGUCGGCCUGCGCGGAAGAUGUAACGGGGCUAAACCAUGCACCGAAGCUGCGGCAGCGACACUUAUGUGUUGUUGGGUAGGGGAGCGUUCUGUAAGCCGUUGAAGGUGUGCUGUGAGGCAUGCUGGAGGUAUCAGAAGUGCGAAUGCUGACAUAAGUAACGAUAAAGCGGGUGAAAAGCCCGCUCGCCGGAAGACCAAGGGUUCCUGUCCAACGUUAAUCGGGGCAGGGUGAGUCGACCCCUAAGGCGAGGCCGAAAGGCGUAGUCGAUGGGAAACAGGUUAAUAUUCCUGUACUUGGUGUUACUGCGAAGGGGGGACGGAGAAGGCUAUGUUAGCCGGGCGACGGUUGUCCCGGUUUAAGCAUGUAGGCGGAGGUUCCAGGUAAAUCCGGUACCUUUUAACGCUGAGGUGUGAUGACGAGGCACUACGGUGCUGAAGUAACAAAUGCCCUGCUUCCAGGAAAAGCCUCUAAGCAUCAGGUAACAUCAAAUCGUACCCCAAACCGACACAGGUGGUCAGGUAGAGAAUACCAAGGCGCUUGAGAGAACUCGGGUGAAGGAACUAGGCAAAAUGGUGCCGUAACUUCGGGAGAAGGCACGCUGAUAUGUAGGUGAAGCCCCUGCGGGUGGAGCUGAAAUCAGUCGAAGAUACCAGCUGGCUGCAACUGUUUAUUAAAAACACAGCACUGUGCAAACACGAAAGUGGACGUAUACGGUGUGACGCCUGCCCGGUGCCGGAAGGUUAAUUGAUGGGGUUAGCGGUAACGCGAAGCUCUUGAUCGAAGCCCCGGUAAACGGCGGCCGUAACUAUAACGGUCCUAAGGUAGCGAAAUUCCUUGUCGGGUAAGUUCCGACCUGCACGAAUGGCGUAAUGAUGGCCAGGCUGUCUCCACCCGAGACUCAGUGAAAUUGAACUCGCUGUGAAGAUGCAGUGUACCCGCGGCAAGACGGAAAGACCCCGUGAACCUUUACUAUAGCUUGACACUGAACACUGGUCCUUGAUGUGUAGGAUAGGUGGGAGGCUUUGAAGCGUGGACGCCAGUCUGCGUGGAGCCGACCUUGAAAUACCACCCUUUAAUGGCUGGUGUUCUAACGUAGACCCGUGAUCCGGGUUGCGGACAGUGUCUGGUGGGUAGUUUGACUGGGGCGGUCUCCUCCCAAAGAGUAACGGAGGAGCACGAAGGUUAGCUAAUCCUGGUCGGACAUCAGGAGGUUAGUGCAAUGGCAUAAGCUAGCUUGACUGCGAGAGUGACGGCUCGAGCAGGUGCGAAAGCAGGUCAUAGUGAUCCGGUGGUUCUGAAUGGAAGGGCCAUCGCUCAACGGAUAAAAGGUACUCCGGGGAUAACAGGCUGAUACCGCCCAAGAGUUCAUAUCGACGGCGGUGUUUGGCACCUCGAUGUCGGCUCAUCACAUCCUGGGGCUGAAGUAGGUCCCAAGGGUAUGGCUGUUCGCCAUUUAAAGUGGUACGCGAGCUGGGUUUAGAACGUCGUGAGACAGUUCGGUCCCUAUCUGCCGUGGGCGCUGGAGAAUUGAGGGGGGCUGCUCCUAGUACGAGAGGACCGGAGUGGACGCAUCACUGGUGUUCGGGUUGUCAUGCCAAUGGCACUGCCCGGUAGCUAAAUGCGGAAAAGAUAAGUGCUGAAAGCAUCUAAGCACGAAACUUGCCCCGAGAUGAGUUCUCCCUGACCCUUUAAGGGUCCUGAAGGAACGUUGAAGACUACGACGUUGAUAGGUCGGGUGUGUAAGCGCAGCGAUGCGUUGAGCUAACCGAUACUAAUGAACCGUGAGGCUUAACCUUACAACGCCGAAGGUGUUU